rnacentral:misc_RNA from 1 species
GCGCCAUAGUGAUUACAACAGUAACAUCAAUAAAAAUUUCUCAUGAGCACUUUAUUCUCAUGUAUUACAACAAACUACAAAUUGACUGCAUCCAGAACACUGCAUAGUUGUUUCACUUGCAUCUAGUAAAAUCAAAAUGACAGGUGAUUCAACUCAACUUCUUUUGGGCAGGCCAAAAACAACUUGCAGCGCAUAAUUUUACCUUGGUUAAAAUGCGAGUAUGAGCUAUAGUUCAGAGUUAAUAAUCUCCUCAACUGAGCCUUUGUACCUCGAAAUAAGAUCCCUUCGCUGAUUUAGCAUUUGUUCGCACUCUGCCUUUUUGCGCUUUUGUCCCUCAACUGUCAUAGAUCUUGAGCUAAUAGACCCUGAUAUUGAUGUCAACAGCUGCUGGCACUUCUCAAACUGAUUUUUCAAUUCAGUUACCAAUGCAUCUGAGUGCUGAUCUCGAUUUCCAUUUUCAAUUGUAUCAGCUAAAUUCUCCACCAGUUGUAAAAGAUGGAAGUGAGAGGCAAG